rnacentral:rRNA from 1 species
AUUGAACGCUGGCGGCAGGCCUAACACAUGCAAGUCGAACGAGUGGCGGACGGGUGAGUAAUGUUUGGGAAUCUGCCUGAUGGAGGGGGAUAACUACGGGAAACUGUAGCUAAUACCGCAUACUAUAGGAUGCGCCCAAGUGGGAUUAGCUGGUUGGUGGGGUAACGGCUCACCUAGGCGACGAUCUCUAUCUGGUCUGAGAGGAUGACCAUCCACACUGGAAAUGAGACACGGCCCAGACGCCUACGGGAGGCAGCAGUGGGGAAUAUUGCACAAUGGGCGCAAGCCUGAGGCAGCCAUGCCGCGUGUAUGAAGAAGGCCUUCGGGUUGUAAAGUACUUUCAGCGGGGAGGCGUUACCGGCAGAAGAAGCACCGGCUAACUCCGUGCCAGCAGCCGCGGUAAUAC